rnacentral:lncRNA from 1 species
AAAAGAGCUGAAAGGAAGUCCAUCUGAGUCCUCUGGGCUCCAAAGCACUGAGGACAUGUGGAAUAUGCUGAGGCUUGGAUUUCUCUAGAAGAGGAAGAAAGGAAGGAGAGAGGCAAACCGGCAAGAGAUACUUUCUCCUUAAUUUAUCAGUCAGAUCGGAGCUUCCAUGAGUCUCCAAAGAGAUGGCUGAGCAAGGAAUGCACGGUCAGAAACACGAAAUUGAGGCACUUAAAAGAACUUGUGCAUUAAAGGGCGACACGAAGAGCAACCAUAGAGAUUACGUGUGACGAUUUACACAGCAUUUUGCAAUCAUAGUCUAAGGAAGGCCAAAC